UACGUAGGGGGCAAGCGUUGUUCGGAAUUACUGGGCGUAAAGGGCGCGUAGGCGGCACAGCAAGUCGGGAGUGAAAGCCCGGGGCUCAACCCCGGAACUGCUUUCGAAACUGCUGAGCUAGAGUGCGGAAGGGGCAACCGGAAUUCCCAGUGUAGCGGUGAAAUGCGUAGAUAUUGGGAAGAACACCUGAGGCGAAGGCGGGUUGCUGGGUAGAUACUGACGCUGAGGUGCGAAAGCGUGGGGAGCAAACAGG
rnacentral:rRNA from 1 species